rnacentral:lncRNA from 1 species
UCCUUCGCCUGCUGCUAGUCCCUUUCCCCACUCCUCUGCUGCUCCUCCUCUUAAAACUGCUGCUGCUCUUCUUUCCCACGUUCCUGCUCUGCACUCUGCUUCUCACCUCCGUUGCUGCUGUUUCUCUUCUGAACCUCUGCUACUGUUCAGCUCUGAACCUCUGCAUCUGUGUUGAAUGUGCUUUCAGUGUUCUUGAGAUGUGUAAACUGUUCAAUAUUCAGCUUACAAUUUGUAAAACUUUUGUGAUUCAGUGGUGUCUCUAUGUUAUACAUAUAGCUUGUGUACUGCUUGCUGCAGUAAAUUUCAGUUUGUAAGUUCCUGUGAUAGCUCCAGUACAUGUGACUUUUAUGUUGUCUCAAGUUCCUGUUAUAUAUAUACAUAUGUGUGUGUCUGUGAUGUGAUACAUUUAUGUUCUGUCCUACAACCUUAUUGUGUUAGCAUUUUAUUUCUCAUGUAAAACGAAAAUACCAAAAAUAUUAUUGAAGAUAAUCUGAACCUCCUUUGACCUUUUUGCAUUUUCUUUGGUGACGAUCUUUGGGUACAACCUUGUUUAGUGUAGGUUUUUUUUCUUGCAUUCAUAAUCUGAAUUGUGUUACCUAGCUUUAGCCAAGCACCGUCAUCGAUUUGCCUAGUCCCUGAUGAGAACACGACACUCGUAGUUUGGGGCGUAAAAACCCAGCUAUAUUACAAUUGAUCAUUUUGGCGCCGUUGCCGGGGACUAGCGUCGAGCGAUUGUGCGAAGCUAUAGACUAGGCUUAGUAUAGUUUUUGUUUAAAUUUCCAGUCAAAUUUAUUUCUGUGCUUCUUUUACCUUUUUACUUUUUGUUGCUUCGGCUUAUUAGGAUACUAACCCUCUCACCAAUGUUUCAUGUUUGUGAGCGUGUGUAGGAUAUCUUAUUAUUUGUAGGCUGAUUGACAGUUGCACCUGAACAUAUGGCUUUAGUACAUGAUCUUUGGUUGCCAAGUAGUUUGGACACGAUGACAGGGCCAAUUUGGCCAUCUAUUGAGGCCAAAAUUUUUGAGUUGAGGCCUGGACUUAUUGCUCUCGUCUUGCAGAAUCAGUUUAGAGGAUUACCCAAUGAAGACCCUCAUGAGCACAUUAGUAAUGUUCUGGAGUAUGCCAAUACAGUCCAGUAUCAUGGCGUUUCCCAAGAUACUAUCAAGUGUAUGUUGUUCACAUUCUCUCUCAGAGAUGCUGCUAAGGACUGGUACUAUUCUUUGCCAUCAAGAUCAUACACUUGGGGUGAUAUUUCACAAGCUUUCCUGCAUAGAUAUUUUCCACUUUACAAGCAAGCUGCAAUUCGUGACCAGAUCCUCAGUUUUGCGCAAGAUGGUAGUGAGAGCUUGUAUGCAGCUUGGGAGAGAUAUAAGUAUUUGCUUAGAAAAUGUCCUAAUCAUGGGCAAAAGGAUUGGUUAGUGCUUCAGAUAUUCUAUAGAGGGCUGACACAUGCUUCAAGAGAUCUUAUUGAUAUGUCAGCUGGUGGAACAAUCAUGAACAAGACCGUCGAGGGUGCAAUUAUUCUCAUUGAGAGCAUUGCCUUCCACCAAAUGCAAUGGGGUUAUGAAAGGCCUAGUUCAAAUCCGAAGGUUGCAAGCCUCGUGCAAUCAGAAGUUGUGUGUUCCAUAAGUGAACAGAAAUCAUCCAUGGUGCCUAAUAUUCAAAACCAGCAUGUUUCAUUCCGGGGACAACAACAUUUCAGAACUGAAUUAGAUCCUCCAUAUAGAACGAUUGAUCUUACUUCAAUUAUCCUUGAUGAUGAUUAUGAUAUUUUUCAAGAUGAUGAAACUACUGUAGAUCAGAUGGAAACCACAGUAGCAGAUCCAAUACCUCAUGGCAAUGAAACUGUCCAGAAUGAGUCAAAGCUGAAAGAAGAUGUUUAUGAGGAACCUACUCUGAUUGAUGCUAAGUUGAGACAACAAGAUAUGGAGAAAUUCACUUGUGUUAGUCAACUAUGUGACUGGUGGAAUUUAGUCGUGUCACCAAUUGCCCACACUUGUGUUACAACGGUAUCUGGGCUAUUUGUCAAGAAGAAAUCAUUAGCUCCACCGGUGGUUGCCUCUAUCACAGUUAAAGAGAGUAUCUCAGAGAAGAAUAGUGAAGAUGAGAUUCCAACUCCUGCACAUACAACUAAGCAAGUCGGAGCCAUUCCAAGGAGAGAGAUACAAGAGGUUGAGUCAAAUUUAGAAGAGUUGAUACUUCAAUAUCCUGAGAAGAUCCCACGUGUUGCUGAGCUGCAUGACUGGUGGAAGUCAUCAGUGUCACUGUUGAGACUUAGUAGUGAUGGUGAUGAGGAGAACAUUGCUCAGAAAGACAGCGAGGUAGUGAUCUCAACACCCCUACCAGAUCAUGUUAGUGAAUAUUCACAUAUGGGGACACUUCAGACUCAAUUAAGUGUUGCUGGUAGUAGCACCAUAGAAGAUCCAGAGGAAGAGAGUCCUCAACUUGAAGAAGAUUUACAAGAAGACAAGGAACAAGAUGAUCAAGAGCUGCAAUUUCCAAGUGAUCAAGUUGAAGACUCAUCAUCUACUACUCCUGAAGAAGUACAAGAAGCUGUUGUAGAUGAAGAUGAAGAACCUGAGAUUCAUUGGCCUAUUGUCAUACAUGAGCGCGAUGUGUCAGGUUUACCCAAUCCUCUUGAUGACAUGCUCCCUUGUGAUUUCUUUGCUUCUAACUUGCAUUGCAUGAUGCCAUCACUUAAGGUAGAUUUGAAAAACUAUUUGCUUGGACAUGAUCAUACACACCCUGUUAGUGGCAUUACUCUCAUUUGUGAUGAUCACAGUUACUUUCCUCGUGCUAGUUCUAUGCUUAAUGAAACAUAUCAUUCCCAUGUUAGUCUUGAGCUUAAUGAUAAAUAUCAUCCUCAUGUUAGCAUUGAGCUUACUGAUUUGUACCAUCCUAAACAUGUGCUUUAUAGCUAUGCUUAUGUAAUUGGGUACUCUAUAGAUGAUUUAGAGGGCAUUACCCUUGUCACUUGUAUUGUUUCCUUGGUUGAGUGCUCUUUCAGGUUGUUGCUUGUGCACGAUCCACUACAUGCUGACCAAGUCCGAGAUGACAUUCCCUGGGACCCCGGUGGACCCAUGGCAUGGGGAUGAGGAGAAGCAAGGAGCACACAUGAAGAGAGAAGCUGGAGCAGGCAUGAGGAUAGAGAAGCAAAAAGAGAAGAGCUGCAGCUUAGAGAGUCAUCAAGCGAGUGCUACUUCAUAGUGCCCGGUUAGCUGUUUCAUGACCCAUUCUGAGUAUAUCAUCCAUUGAUGCUUGCUGAAUUAAAUUGCUAUUUGGGUUGCUUGUGCCAUUUCUUAAAUGUUGUCCCACUGAAUUUCACCUUUGACAUGUGGUGCUUGAUGAGAAUAUGCGAACUAAUUGUUGAAUGCCUUGUAACUAGUGAUCUACACCCUGUUUGCUCUGCUAAAAGUAGUGAAAGCUAUUAGUUCUGAGUGCUCAAAUCCCUAGUACACUAGAAAACUAAAUCAUUUUCUGCAUUUACUAUGAUACACCUAGAUCACCAUGUUUAGAUGCUGAAUUUGUGCCAAGUGUGUUCCCAUUGAGAGCAAUCACCUAACUACUAUGGAAUAUCAUGCUAUGUUCCCUGGAUCGGUAGCAUGUGAACCAGACAUGGAGAAGUGAUGAUUCCUAUUUUUGUGCUUAUGCAUUGUUCAUUUAAGAUAAGUAAUAAUGAAUAAAUUAGUCUGACUACCUACAGUAGCAUGUCAUGUUCUUGGGAUCGGUGGCAUGUGAAAUCGGGUUAGCUUGGGCAGUAAUUAUUAUAAAAAUGUAAUUGUCGAACCAGGUGUAUACCAUGUUCUCGGGAUCGGUGGUAUGUUCCUUUGGGGAGACAAACAAGAAAACUAUAUAAUUGGUCAAGCCGGGUGUAUACCAUGUUCUCGGGAUCGGUGGUAUGUUCCUUUGGUGAGAUCAAUAAAAUAUUAUCAUUACUUCCUUCAAAUUCAAUAAGUGGUUCAACCACAAAGUUAUAUUUCUGCAAAUAAGAGAUUUAAUUCCAGUUCUUUUUGUUCUCGGGAUCAUGCUCUCUUUAGGAAUCAUUUGGCGCAAUCAUCAUUUAAACUUGUUGGUCCUCUUUUAUCAUUGUAAAAGUUUAAAAUGGUCAUGCUUACCAGUAUCCUACUGCUUUGUAGCACUCUUAACCAUCAAUUUUCACUAGCUAAGUCCAAAAGCAUGCAUUGUUUAGAGAUCUACUUCACUUGGACAUUCUUUACUCAGUUCACUGUUCACAUUCUUGCUCUUGUCAUAUGCCUUUGCUUGAGGACAAGCAAAGAUUUAAGUGUGGGGGAACUUGAUAAGUAUAUUUCACAUAUAUAAUUUUGGUACUCAAAUAUAGCUUCUAUCGUGACAUAUUCGUCCAUUCUUGCCAUGAUUGNNNNNNNNNNNNNNNNNNNNNNNNNNNNNNNNNNCAUUACUUCCUUCAAAUUCAAUAAGUGGUUCAACAACAAAGUUAUAUUUCUGCAAAUAAGAGAUUUAAUUCCAGUUCUUUUUGUUCUCGGGAUCAUGCUCUCUUUAGGAAUCAUUUGGCGCAAUCAUCAUUUAAACUUGUUGGUCCUCUUUUAUCAUUGUAAAAGUUUAAAAUGGUCAUGCUUACCAGUAUCCUACUGCUUUGUAGCACUCUUAACCAUCAAUUUUCACUAGCUAAGUCCAAAAGCAUGCAUUGUUUAGAGAUCUACUUCACUUGGACAUUCUUUACUCAGUUCACUGUUCACAUUCUUGCUCUUGUCAUAUGCCUUUGCUUGAGGACAAGCAAAGAUUUAAGUGUGGGGGAACUUGAUAAGUAUAUUUCACAUAUAUAAUUUUGGUACUCAAAUAUAGCUUCUAUCGUGACAUAUUCGUCCAUUCUUGCCAUGAUUGAUUGAAUAUUGCUUGAUAAUCAUCAAAAAGGAUCAUUUACUAGUCUUUGGUCUAUCUUGCAGAAAUGUGCACAAAGGCACUAAUAAUCGUCAAGAUUCCGUCUAUGUGGCUAUCGAGAAGAGUGAAGAAGAGAAGAGAAGGAAGAAGAGACUUGUGUGAGAUGAAGAGAAGUAACCAGGGGGCUAGGUAAAGAAGUGGGAGGACCUUCUUGUGAAGAAAGAAGAGAAGAAAGAGGGCCAAAUCACAAAGUGCAGAUGAGAGGAGGGGAACAAAAUCCCUAGGCACUGGAGGGAUCCGAUCGGGCCUGGCCAUAUCUCCAUCUCUCUUCUCCCCCACCAGUUCUUCCACCUUAGGCCGCUGUCUCGGCCAGGCCGGCGUGGUGGUGCGCCUCUGCAGCCCAGCCACCACCAUCUCCAUCCAUCUCCGCUGCGCCACCAUCCACAUCAGCGCCCUGCGCCAUCCAUCACCAGCACCAACACCCAGCGCCACCCAGCACCUCCACACGCUCCACACCGCCGCCAUCCAUCACCACCGCACCACUGAACACCUCAGCGCGAGAGUUUCCCUGUUGCCGUCCUUCUUCCCUUGCCUCUGCUGCUGCUCUUGCUUGCGCCCCUGUGCUGCUGCCUUUCUUCUCCCCUUGCUACUGCUCCCCUUUUCUAGCGCCUCAACCUGCUGCUCCUUCUCCUCCGCCUGCUGCUAGUCCCUUUCCCACGCCUCUGCUGCUCCUCCUCUUAAAACUGCUGCUGCUCUUCUUUCCCACGUUCCUGCUAUGAACUCUGCUUCUCACCUCCGUUGCUGCUGUUUCUCUUCUGAACCUCUGCUACUGUUCAGCUCUGAACCUCUGCAUCUGUGUUGAAUGUUCUUUCAGUGUUCUUGAGAUGUGUAAAACUGUUCAAUAUUCAGCUUACAAUUUGUGAAACUUUUGUGAUUCAGUGGUGUCUCUAUGUUAUACAUAUAGCUUGUGUACUGCUUGCUGCAGUAAAUUUCAGUUUGUAAGUUCCUGUGAUAGCUCCAGUACAUGUGACUUUUAUGUUGUCUCAAGUUCCUGUUAUAUAUAUACAUAUGUGUGUGUCUGUGAUGUGAUACAUUUAUGUUCUAUCCUACAACCUUAUUGUGUUAGCAUUUUAUUUCUCAUGUAAAACGAAAAUACCAAAAAUAUUAUUGAAGAUAAUCUGAACCUCCUUUGCCCUUUUUGCAUUUUCUUUGGUGACGAUCUUUGGGUACAACCUUGUUUAGUGUAGGUUUAUUUUCUUGCAUUCAUAAUCUGAAUUGUGUUACCUAGCUUUAGCCAAGCACCGUCAUUGAUUUUCCUAGUCCCUCAUGAGAACACGACACUCGUAGUUUGGGGCGUAAAAACCCCGCUAUAUUACAAUUGAUCAUUUUGGCGCCGUUGCCGAUGACUAGCGUCGAGCGAUUGUGCGAAGCUAUAGACUAGGCUUAGUAUAGUUUUUGUUUAAAUUUCCAGUCAAAUUUAUUUCUGUGUUUCUUUUACCUUUUUACUUUUUGUUGCCUCGGCUUAUUAGGAUAGUAACCCUCUCACCAAUGUUUCAUGUUUGUGAGCGUGUGUAGGAUAUCUUAUUAUUUGUAGGCUGAUUGACAGUUGCACUUGAACAUAUGGCUUUAGUACGUGAUCUUUGGUUGCCAAGUAGUUUGGACACGAUGACAGGGCCAAUUUGGCCAUCUAUUGAGGCCAAAAAUUUUGAGUUGAGGCCUGGACUUAUUGCUCUCGUCUUGCAGAAUCAGUUUAGAGGAUUACCCAAUGAAGACCCUCAUGAGCACAUUAGUAAUGUUCUGGAGUAUGCCAAUACAGUCCAGUAUCAUGGCGUUUCCCAAGAUGCUAUCAAGUGUAUGUUGUUCACAUUCUCUCUCAGAGAUGCUGCUAAGGACUGGUACUAUUCUUUGCCAUCAAGAUCAUACACUUGGGGUGAUAUUUCACAAGCUUUCCUGCAUAGAUAUUUUCCACUUUACAAGCAAGCUGCAAUUCGUGACCAGAUCCUCAGUUUUGCGCAAGAUGGUAGUGAGAGCUUGUAUGCAGCUUGGGAGAGAUAUAAGUAUUUGCUUAGAAAAUGUCCUAAUCAUGGGCAAAAGGAUUGGUUAGUGCUUCAGAUAUUCUAUAGAGGGCUGACACAUGCUUCAAGAGAUCUUAUUGAUAUGUCAGCUGGUGGAACAAUCAUGAACAAGACCGUCGAGGGUGCAAUUAUUCUCAUUGAGAGCAUUGCCUUCCACCAAAUGCAAUGGGGUUAUGAAAGGCCUAGUUCAAAUCCGAAGGUUGCAAGCCUCGUGCAAUCAGAAGUUGUGUGUUCCAUAAGUGAACAGAAAUCAUCCAUGGUGCCUAAUAUUCAAAACCAGCAUGUUUCAUUCCGGGGACAACAACAUUUCAGAACUGAAUUAGAUCCUCCAUAUAGAACGAUUGAUCUUACUUCAAUUAUCCUUGACGAUGAUUAUGAUAUUUUUCAAGAUGAUGAAACUACUGUAGAUCAGAUGGAAACCACAGUAGCAGAUCCAAUACCUCAUGGCAAUGAAACUGUCCAGAAUGAGUCAAAGCUGCAAGAAGAUGUUUAUGAGGAACCUACUCUGAUUGAUGCUAAGUUGAGACAGCAAGAUAUGGAGAAAUUCACUUGUGUUAGUCAACUAUGUGACUGGUGGAAUUUAGUCGUGUCACCAAUUGCCCACACUUGUGUUACAACGGUAUCUGGGCUAUUUGUCAAGAAGAAAUCAUUAGCUCCACCGGUGGUUGCCUCUAUCACAGUUAAAGAGAGUAUCUCAGAGAAGAAUAGUGAAGAUGAGAUUCCAACUCCUGCACAUACAACUAAGCAAGUCGGAGCCAUUGCAAGGAGAGAGAUACAAGAGGUUGAAUCAAAUUUAGAAGAGUUGAUACUUCAAUAUCCUGAGAAUAUCCCACGUGUUGCUGAGCUGCAUGACUGGUGGAAGUCAUCAGUGUCACUGUUGAGACUUAGUAGUGAUGGUGAUGAGGAGAACAUUGCUCAGAAAGACAGCGAGGUAGUGAUCUCAGCACCCCUACCAGAUCAUGUUAGUGAAUAUUCACAUAUGGGGACACUUCAGACUCAAUUAAGUGUUGCUGGUAGUAGCACCAUAGAAGAUCCAGAGGAAGAGAGUCCUCAACUUGAAGAAGAUUUACAAGAAGACAAGGAACAAGAUGAUCAAGAGCUGCAAUUUCCAAGUGAUCAAGUUAAAGACUCAUCAUCUACUACUCCUGAAGAAGUACAAGAAGCUGCAGUAGAUGAAUAUGAAGAACCUGAUAUUCAUUGGCCUAUUGUCAUACAUGAGCGCGAUGUGUCAGGUUUACCCAAUCCUCUUGAUGACAUGAUCCCUUGUGAUUUCUUUGCUUCUAACUUGCAUUGCAUGAUGCCAUCACUUAAGGUAGAUUUGAAAAACCAUUUGCUUGGACAUGAUCAUACACACCCUGUUAGUGGCAUUACUCUCAUUUGUGAUGAUCACAAUUACUUUCCUCGUGCUACUUCUAUGCUUAAUGAAACAUAUCAUUCCCAUGUUAGUCUUGAGCUUAAUGAUAAAUAUCAUCCUCAUGUUAGCAUUGAGCUUACUGAUUUGUACCGUCCUAAACAUGUGCUUUAUAGCUAUGCUUAUGUAAUUGGGUACUCUAUAGAUGAUUUAGAGGGCAUUACCCUUGUCACUUGUAUUGUUUCCUUGGUUGAGUGCUCUUUCAGGUUGUUGCUUGUGCAUGAUCCACUACAUGCUGACCAAGUUCGAGAUGACAUUCCCUGGGACCCCGGUGGACCCAUGGCAUGGGGAUGAGGAGAAGCAAGGAGCACACAUGAAGAGAGAAGCUGGAGCAGGCAUGAGGAUAGAGAAGCAAAAAGAGAAGAGCUGCAGCUUAGAGAGUGAUCAAGCGAGUGCUACUUCAUAGUGCCCGGUUAGCUGUUUCAUGACCCAUUCUGAGUAUAUCAUCCAUUGAUGCUUGCUGAAUUAAAUUGCUAUUUGGGUUGCUUGUGCCAUUUCUUAAAUGUUGUCCCACUGAAUUUCACCUUUGACAUAUGGUGCUUGAUGAGAAUAUGCGAACUAAUUGUUGAAUGCCUUGUAACUAGUGAUCUACACCCUGUUUGCUCUGCUGAAAGUAGUGAAAGCUAUUAGUUCUAAGUGCUCAAAUCCCUAGUACACUAGAAAACUAAAUCAUUUUCUGCAUUUACUAUGAUACACCUAGAUCACCAUGUUUAGAUGCUGAAUUUGUGCCAAGUGUGUUCCCAUUGAGAGCAAUCACCUAACCACUAUGGAAUAGCAUGCUAUGUUCCCUGGAUCGGUAGCAUGUGAACCAGACAUGGAGAAGUGAUGAUUCCUGUUUUUGUGCUUAUGCAUUGUUCAUUUAAGAUAAGUAAUAAUGAAUAAAUUAGUCUGACUACCUACAGUAGCAUGUCAUGUUCUUGGGAUCGGUGGCAUGUGAAAUCGGGUUAGCUUGGGCAGUAAUUAUUAUAAAAAUGUAAUUGUCGAACCAGGUGUAUACCAUGUUCUCGGGAUCGGUGGUAUGUUCCUUUGGGGAGACAAACAAGAAAACUAUAUAAUUGGUCGAGCCGGGUGUAUACCAUGUUCUCGGGAUCGGUGGUAUGUUCCUUUGGUGAGAUCAAUAAAAUAUUAUCAUUACUUCCUUCAAAUUCAAUAAGUGGUUCAACCACAAAGUUAUAUUUCUGCAAAUAAGAAAUUUAAUUCCAGUUCUUUUUGUUCUCGGGAUCAUGCUCUCUUUAGGAAUCAUUUGGCGCAAUCAUCAUUUAAACUUGUUGGUCCUCUUUUAUCAUUGUAAAAGUUUAAAAUGGUCAUGCUUACCAGUAUCCUACUGCUUUGUAGCACUCUUAACCAUCAAUUUUCACUAGCUAAGUCCAAAAGCAUGCAUUGUUUAGAGAUCUACUUCACUUGGACAUUCUUUACUCAGUUCACUGUUCACAUUCUUGCUCUUGUCAUAUGCCUUUGCUUGAGGACAAGCAAAGAUUUAAGUGUGGGGGAACUUGAUAAGUAUAUUUCACAUAUAUAAUUUUGGUACUCAAAUAUAGCUUCUAUCGUGACAUAUUCGUCCAUUCUUGCCAUGAUUGAUUGAAUAUUGCUGGAUAAUCAUCAAAAAGGAUCAUUUACUAGUCUUUGGUCUAUCUUGCAGAAAUGUGCACAAAGGCACUAAUAAUCGUCAAGAUUCCGUCUAUGUGGCUAUCGAGAAGAGUGAAGAAGAGAAAAGAAGGAAGAAGAGACUUGUGUGAGAUCAAGAGAAGUAACCAGGAGGCUAGGUAAAGAAGUGGGAGGACCUUCUUGUGAAGAAAGAAGAGAAGAAAGAGGGCCAAAUCACAAAGUGCAGAUGAGAGGAGGGGAACAAAAUCCCUAGGCGCUGGAGGGAUCCGAUCGGGCCUGGCCAUAUCUCCAUCUCUCUUCUCCCCCACCAGUUCUUCCACCUCAGGCCGCUGCCACGGCCAGGCCGGCGUGGUGGAUCGCCUCUGCAGCCCAGCCACCACCAUCUCCAUCCAUCUCUGCUGCGCCACCAUCCACAUCAGCACCGCUGCGCCAUCCAUCACCAGCACCAACACCCAGCGCCACCUAGCACCUCCAAACGCUCCACACCGCCGCCAUCCAUCACCACCGCACCACUGAACACCUCUGUGCGAGAGUUUCCCUGCUGCCGUCCUUCUUCCCAUGCCUCUGCUGCUGCUCUUGCUUGCGCCCCUGUGCUGCUGCCUUUCUUCUCCCCUUGCUACUGCUCCCCUUUUCUAGCGCCUCAACCUGCUGCUCCUUCUCCUUGGCCUGCUGCUAGUCCCUUUCCCCACGCCUCUGCUGCUCCUCCUCUUAAAACUGCUGCUGCUCAUCUUUCCCACGUUCCUACUCUGAACUCUGCUUCUCACCUCCGUUGCUGCUGUUUCUCUUCUGAACCUCUGCUACUGUUCAGCUCUGAACCUCUGCAUCUGUGUUGAAUGUGCUUUCAGUGUUCUUGAGAUGUGUAAAACUGUUCAAUAUUCAGCUUACAAUUUGUGAAACUUUUGUGAUUCAGUGGUGUCUCUAUGUUAUACAUAUAGCUUGUGUACUGCUUGCUGCAGUAAAUUUCAGUUUGUAAGUUCCUGUGAUAGCUCCAGUACAUGUGACUUUUAUGUUGUCUCAAGUUCCUGUUAUAUAUAUACAUAUGUGUGUGUCUGUGAUGUGAUACAUUUAUGUUCUGUCCUACAACCUUAUUGUGUUAGCAUUUUAUUUCUCAUGUAAAACGAAAAUACCAAAAAUAUUAUUGAAGAUAAUCUGAACCUCCUUUGCCCUUUUUGCAUUUUCU